rnacentral:rRNA from 1 species
UACGAAGGGGGCUAGCGUUGCUCGGAAUUACUGGGCGUAAAGGGCGCGUAGGCGGAUAGUUUAGUCAGAGGUGAAAGCCCAGGGCUCAACCUUGGAACUGCCUUUGAUACUGGCUAUCUUGAGUUCGGGAGAGGUGAGUGGAAUGCCGAGUGUAGAGGUGAAAUUCGUAGAUAUUCGGCGGAACACCAGUGGCGAAGGCGACUCACUGGUCCGAUACUGACGCUGAGGCGCGAAAGCGUGGGGAGCAAACAGG